GGGUCCGUGGUGUAGCCUGGCCUAACACGCUUCCCUGUCAAGGAAGAGAUCGCCGGUUCGAAUCCGGUCGGGCCCG
rnacentral:tRNA from 1 species